rnacentral:rRNA from 1 species
CAGUCGCCGCGGUAAUACGAAGGGUGCAAGCGUUAAUCGGAAUUACUGGGCGUAAAGCGUGCGUAGGCGGUUUGUUAAGUCUGUUGUGAAAUCCCCGGGCUCAACCUGGGAAUGGCAAUGGAUACUGGCAAGCUAGAGUGUGUCAGAGGAUGGUGGAAUUCCCGGUGUAGCGGUGAAAUGCGUAGAGAUCGGGAGGAACAUCAGUGGCGAAGGCGGCCAUCUGGGACAACACUGACGCUGAGGCACGAAAGCGUGGGGAGCAAACAGGUUUAGAUACCCCGGUAGUCCCUGUCUCUUAUAC